GCAAUUUAGGAUAGCUCAGUUGGUUAGAGUGUGGUGCUGAUAAUGCCAAGGUUGCAGGUUCAAUCCCUGUAUGGCACAGCUGCA
rnacentral:tRNA from 1 species